rnacentral:rRNA from 1 species
AUUGAACGCUGGCUACAGGCUUAACACAUGCAAGUCGAGGGGUAGCAGGGUAGCAAUACCGCUGACGACCGGCGCACGGGUGAGUACACGUAUCCAACCUUCCCAUAACUCGGGGAUAGCCUUUCGAAAGAAAGAUUAAUACCGGAUGGUACUUUUUCAAGGCAUCUUGGGAAAGUUAAAGAUUUAUUGGUUAUGGAUGGGGAUGCGUUCCAUUAGAUAGUUGGUGAGGUAACGGCUCACCAAGUCUUCGAUGGAUAGGGGUUCUGAGAGGAAGGUCCCCCACAUUGGUACUGAGACACGGACCAAACUCCUACGGGAGGCAGCAGUGAGGAAUAUUGGUCAAUGGGCGAGAGCCUGAACCAGCCAAGUAGCGUGAAGGAUGAAGGUCCUAUGGAUUGUAAACUUCUUUUAUAGUAGAAUAAAGUGAUCCACGUGUGGAUUUUUGUAUGUAUACUAUGAAUAAGGAUCGGCUAACUCCGUGCCAGCAGCCGCCGUAA